rnacentral:misc_RNA from 1 species
GGAAGUAAAAAUCGUAACAAGGUCUCCGUAGGUGAACCUGCGGAGGGAUCAUUACAGAGUUCAUGCCCUACCGGGUAGAUCUCCCACCCUAUGUUAUUAUUACUUUGUUGCUUUGGCGGGCCGUUAGGCUCCGGCCCGACUACCGGCCCCGGCUGGUAAGCGCCCGCCAGAGGACCCAAAACCCUGAAUAUUAGUGUCGUCUGAGUACUAUAUAAUAGUUAAAACUUUCAACAACGGAUCUCUUGGUUCUG